rnacentral:rRNA from 1 species
GACGAACGCUGGCGGCGUGCCUAACACAUGCAAGUCGAACGAGGUCCAGAGGAGCUUGCUCCUUGAAGACCUAGUGGCGAACGGGUGAGUAACACGUGAAGAACCUGCCCCGGACUUGGGGAUAACUCGAGGAAACUCGAGCUAAUACCGAAUGCCUUCCCGAGGUCGCAUGGCCAUGGGAAGAAAGUUUUUCGGUCUGGGAGGGCUUCGCGGCCUAUCAGCUAGUUGGUGAGGUAACGGCUCACCAAGGCUACGACGGGUAGCUGGUUUGAGAGAACGAUCAGCCACACUGGGACUGAGACACGGCCCAGACUCCUACGGGAGGCAGCAGUGGGGAAUCUUGCGCAAUGGGCGAAAGCCUGACGCAGCAACGCCGCGUGCGGGAUGACGGCCUUCGGGUUGUAAACCGCUUUCAGCAGGGACGAAAAUGACGGUACCUGCAGAAGAAGCUCCGGCUAACUACGUGCCAGCAGCCGCGGUAAUACGUAGGGGGCAGGCGUUGUCCGGAUUUAUUGGGCGUAAAGAGCUCGUAGGCGGUUCCGUAAGUCAGGUGUGAGAAAUCUGGGCUCAACCCAGUGGAGCACCUGAUACUGCGGUGACUCGAGUCCGGUAGGGGAGUGUGGAAUUCCUGGUGUAGCGGUGAAAUGCGCAGAUAUCAGGAGGAACACCGACGGCGA